rnacentral:rRNA from 1 species
GACGAACCGUGCGAACGUUGUUCGGAAUCACUGGGCUUAAAGGGCGCGUAGGCGGACUUGCAAGUCUGCGGUGAAAGCCCCCAGCUCAACCCCGGAAUUGCCUUUAAAACUGCAUCGCUAGAAUUGUGGAGAGGUAAGUGGAAUUCCGAGUGUAGAGGUGAAAUUCGUAGAUAUUCGGAAGAACACCAGUGGCGAAGGCGACUUACUGGACACAUAUUGACGCUGAGGUGCGAAAGCGUGGGGAGCAAACAGG